AUAGUAAAACUUUAACAGCCUAGGCGUUAUGAAGCACCGAGUUCUCUAGAGUGAGUCGUACUGGAAACUAGUCAGGUUGUAGUUCAUGUCCCGGGACAGCA